UACGUAGGGGGCUAGCGUUGUCCGGAUUUAUUGGGCGUAAAGAGCGUGUAGGCGGCCUGGUAGGUCAGCUGUGAAAACUCGAGGCUCAACCUCGAGACGCCGGUUGAAACCAUCAGGCUAGAGUCCGGAAGAGGAGAGUGGAAUUCCCGGUGUAGCGGUGAAAUGCGCAGAUAUCAGGAAGAACACCCGUGGCUAAGGCGGUUCUCUAGUACGGUACUGACGCUGAGACGCGAAAGCGUGGGGAGCGAACAGG
rnacentral:rRNA from 1 species